GAGAAACUUCUUUUUUUUUUUUGAUUUAAGAAGAGAAAAAAAGUCUUUAAACUGCUAAAUAAUCACCAGGCUCCAGGAGCUAGGGAUUUUGAGCAGGCACUGCAUGAAGCCAUGGGUGGAAGGUUUCACCACGCAGCCUCAGGUCCAGCCCACCCAGAAACUGCUUCUGAGGCACCAAGAGCACCUGGUGAUCCAGCACUGCCUUGGUGACGUGUCCCAGGAAGCCCCAAAACGUGAUCCAGCCCUUUCCAUGGGGGUCUCAGGGGGAAAUGCAAGGAGACACAUUCUUGACGAAGUGGGAAGCGCUGUGUUUAAUGGAGCCCUCCGAGAAGGUUAGAGCAGGAGCAUUUCUUGAACAAACAAGGCUGGCACUGCACCAUAAUCUUGAGGCUGAAAUGAAUCACGGGCUCCAGAUAGCGGUGGGGACUGUGACACGUGCAAUUUGCAUCAGACCUUCACUAAACAAUCGUCGGAGGGGCGAUGAAUAUAAAGGAGGCUUGGCUGUUAUCAGCUUUGAUCGCAGAAGCACUCACAGGAAAAAAUUAUUAAGCAUCUACAUGAGCAAAACUCUUUGUCUUCUUCAGUUGAAUUGCUACUUUCAUUUGUCUUUAAUAACAUGGUAUUUGCUCACUCUCAGACAGCCGUUUGCAAGGUUGUUCAAAUCCAAGGCUAAUUUGCUCAGGCGCUUGGCUCUCCCAGAGUGAUCACUGAAACUCCUGGUACACACAGUACUUUUCUUGAAUGUUAAAGCAUUUAAAGCUUUUUUUUUUUUUAAUAUUUUUUUUCCCUUAUCCGUGCCUUGAGUAAGUAUUUACACCUAGUCAGAGACAGCAUAUAAACAAGUUAAUGUUUCGACUGGGGAAUGUUUUACACCUCGUUACACAGGUGGAAAUGGGGCCUGCACAGAGCAGGGCCAGGCUGUUUCCAGUAGGUCAUUUUCUUGUUUUGGUCAGCCCUUAUUUUAGGCCAGCCCUGCCCCACAGAGGUAUGUGCAACCACGCCACUGGGUCCUGCCUAUUUCUGGGGGCUGCUGCUGAGUUUGCAUCACACCAAGCCUGGAGUUAUUUCCAACCCAGCUUUGGCCAUGGAGCAAAAGCAAAUGGCUCUCCAUGGACGGCCCCUUGUGGGGGCACCAGCUUGGAAAUCCCACCAGAGAAAAUUGUCACAGGUGGGUCAAGGGCCUGUCUUGCCCACAGUAGGGCCAAAACUCAUCUGAUUUUUGCAGUCUCUCUUUGCACCACAUUUGGGCACCAUCCCUUUGAACACUGGGGUCUGCAGCUGCUGAUCAGGCCUUGGGCUGGUAUUUUUGGCCAGAGGAUGCAAGCCUGCUUUGAGUGGUAAAUCUGUGGUGUGGGUUGUGGCCACUGAACAGCUGGUCUCCUUCUUCCUGCCUUUGGGAAUGACAAGAAAGCCUCGAGCCAGAAGGGAUCAUUGUAUUCUCUCCUGCAUGCUCCAGGACCCAGCAGACCCCAUCUGUCUGAGGUUCAGCACCCAGGAACUGGUGGCAUGACCAGGAAAUGCUCUGCCAGGAGAUGGACCAUGGUCCACUCCCCAGAGUGGUUUUAACCUUCACAGUUCAGGGGAAUACACGAAUGCUUUUCCCCGGCUGGUGUUUGACUGGCUGUGCACUCCAGCACCACUUCUUGCUAUGGCUUCUCUGACAGAUUAAAGACAUACUUAAUACCUGUUUUUGUUUUGGUUGUGUUCAAGACAAGGUA